UCCAGGGUAGCCUAGCGGACAUGGCAUCUGCCCGGUGUGGGUUCGAUUCCCAUCCCUGGAC
rnacentral:tRNA from 1 species